AGAAACUCCAGUCGUGCUGUUGACUGCCUCACUUCAGUUUACCCAGCGCCAGUGUGUGUCAGACUUCAGUUUAUAUGCAGAUGUGCUGCUGCUACUGAAGGCAGUCGACCGGUGGAGGAAAACGUUUUUUGACAGGCAUGCUACAGAUGCUGUGACGGACACUGCAGUCACCUGUAGGAGGGGUCAAUCAAAUCAGAUCUCAAAAACAG